rnacentral:rRNA from 1 species
UUGGAGGGCAAGUCUGGUGCCAGCAGCCGCGGUAAUUCCAGCUCCAAUAGCGUAUAUUAAAGUUGUUGCAGUUAAAAAGCUCGUAGUUGAAUUUCGGGGUUAGUAGGUUGGUCAUGCCUCUGGUAUGUACUGGUCUCACUGAUUCCUCCUUCCUGAUGAACCGUAAUGCCAUUAAUUUGGUGUUGCGGGGAAUUUGGACUGUUACUUUGAAAAAAUUAGAGUGUUUAAAGCAAGCUAACGCUUGAAUACAUUAGCGUGGAAUAAUGAAAUAGGACGUUCGAUCCUAUUUUGUUGGUUUCUAGGAUUGACGUAAUGAUUAAUAGGGAUAGUUGGGGGCAUUAGUAUUCAAUUGUCAGAGGUGAAAUUCUUGGAUUUAUUGAAGACUAACUACUGCGAAAGCAUUUGCCAAGGAUGUUUUCAUUAAUCAAGAACGAAAGUUAGGGGAUCGAAGACGAUCAGAUACCGUCGUAGUCUUAACCAUAAACUAUGCCGACUAGGGAUCGGAUGAUGUUAAUUUCUUAAUGACUCAUUCGGCGCCUUACGGGAAAC